GCCUACGGGACGCAGCAGUGGGGAAUAUUGCACAAUGGGGGAAACCCUGAUGCAGCGACGCCGCGUGAGUGAAGAAGUAUUUCGGUAUGUAAAGCUCUAUCAGCAGGGAAGAAAAUGACGGUACCUGACUAAGAAGCCCCGGCUAACUACGUGCCAGCAGCCGCGGUAAUACGUAGGGGGCAAGGGUUAUCCGGAUUUACUGGGUGUAAAGGGAGCGUAGAGGGGAGAGCAAGUCUGAAGUGAAAGUGCGGGGCCUAAAUGCGGGACUGGUUUGGAAAAUGUACGGUUAGAGUGGUGGAGAGGGA
rnacentral:rRNA from 1 species